AGAGAGAGACAUGCGCGCAUAUCAAUAAGCGGAGGAAAAGAAACUAACAAGGAUUCCCCUAGUAACGGCGAGUGAAGCGGGAAGAGCUCAAAUUUGAAAUCUUAAAGGGUUUCCCUUUACGAAUUGUAGUUUAAAGAAGUGUUUUCUGUUGAGGUUUUGGUAAAAGUUCUUUGGAAUAGGACAUCAUAGAGGGUGAGAAUCCCGUAUUUGACCUUUACUUUCAACUUUGUGAUACACUUUCAAAGAGUCGGAUUGUUUGGGAAUGCAGUCCAAAAUGGGUGGUAAAUUUCAUCUAAAGCUAAAUAUUGGCGAGAGACCGAUAGCGAACAAGUACCGUGAGGGAAAGAUGAAAAGAACUUUGAAAAGAGAGUUAAACAGUACGUGAAAUUGUCAAAAGGGAAGCGUUUGACACCAGUGUUGUUUUUCUGAAAAUCAAUUAAAGAACUGUUUAUGCUAAGCUGUUUAGACUUUAUCAGCUAUCUGUUUAGUUUUGAGCUUUUCUUUAAUGCACUUUUCAGUUAACAAGUCAACAUCAAUUUCUUUUGCUGUAAAAAAAGCUUGAGGAAGGUGGCUUGAGAUUCGUCUUAAGUGUUUAUAGCCUCUUGCCUAUGCAGUCGGAGAGAUUGAGGUCUGCAGCGUAGAUCCUUCGGGGCUAAAUGCAUUUGUGCUAAGUUAUAGCAUUUUAUAGACAACUUGUUGACUAUGAUUUGUCUUGUAGCUUACUCGCUUAUGUUAUUUUACCUACGCUUAGGAUGUUGAGCGCAUGUCUCUCUCU
rnacentral:rRNA from 1 species